rnacentral:rRNA from 1 species
ACGAACGCUGGCGGCAUGCCUAACACAUGCAAGUCGAACGAGACCUUCGGGUCUAGUGGCGCACGGGUGCGUAACGCGUGGGAACCUGCCUUUAGGUUCGGAAUAACUCAGAGAAAUUUGAGCUAAUACCGGAUGAUGUCUUCGGACCAAAGAUUUAUCGCCUUUAGAUGGGCCCGCGUUGGAUUAGCUAGUUGGUGGGGUAAAGGCCUACCAAGGCGACGAUCCAUAGCUGGUCUGAGAGGAUGAUCAGCCACACUGGGACUGAGACGCGGCCCAGACUCCUACGGGAAGCAGCAGUGGGGAAUAUUGGACAAUGGGCGAAAGCCUGAUCCAGCAAUGCCGCGUGAGUGAUGAAGGCCCUAGGGUUGUAAAGCUCUUUUACCCGAGAUGAUAAUGACAGUAUCGGGAGAAUAAGCUCCGGCUAACUCCGUG